AUUGAACGCUGGCGGCAUGCUUUACACAUGCAAGUCGAACGGCAGCGCGGGCUUCGGCCUGGCGGCGAGUGGCGAACGGGUGAGUAAUACAUCGGAACGUGCCCAGUAGUGGGGGAUAGCUCGGCGAAAGCCGGAUUAAUACCGCAUACGACCUGAGGGUGAAAGCGGGGGAUCUUCGGACCUCGCGCUAUUGGAGCGGCCGAUGGCCGAUUAGCUAGUUGGUGGGGUAAAGGCCUACCAAGGCGACGAUCUGUAGCUGGUCUGAGAGGACGACCAGCCACACUGGGACUGAGACACGGCCCAGACUCCUACGGGAGGCAGCAGUGGGGAAGUUUGGACGAUGGGCGAAAGCCUGAUCCAGCAAUGCCGCGUGUGUGAUGAAGGCCUGCGGGUUGUAAAGCACUUUUGGCGGGAAAGAAAAGGACUGAGCCAAUACCACGGUUCGAUGACGGUACCCGCAGAAUAAGCACCGGCUAACUACGUG
rnacentral:rRNA from 1 species